rnacentral:rRNA from 1 species
GUUUGAUCAUGGCUCAGAUUGAACGCUGGCGGCAGGCCUAACACAUGCAAGUCGAGCGGAUGAAGGGAGCUUGCUCCUGGAUUCAGCGGCGGACGGGUGAGUAAUGCCUAGGAAUCUGCCUGGUAGUGGGGGAUAACGUCCGGAAACGGGCGCUAAUACCGCAUACGUCCUGAGGGAGAAAGUGGGGGAUCUUCGGACCUCACGCUAUCAGAUGAGCCUAGGUCGGAUUAGCUAGUUGGUGGGGUAAAGGCCUACCAAGGCGACGAUCCGUAACUGGUCUGAGAGGAUGAUCAGUCACACUGGAACUGAGACACGGUCCAGACUCCUACGGGAGGCAGCAGUGGGGAAUAUUGGACAAUGGGCGAAAGCCUGAUCCAGCCAUGCCGCGUGUGUGAAGAAGGUCUUCGGAUUGUAAAGCACUUUAAGUUGGGAGGAAGGGCAGUAAGUUAAUACCUUGCUGUUUUGACGUUACCAACAGAAUAAGCACCGGCUAACUUCGUGCCAGCAGCCGCGGUAAUACGAAGGGUGCAAGCGUUAAUCGGAAUUACUGGGCGUAAAGCGCGCGUAGGUGGUUCAGCAAGUUGGAUGUGAAAUCCCCGGGCUCAACCUGGGAACUGCAUCCAAAACUACUGAGCUAGAGUACGGUAGAGGGUGGUGGAAUUUCCUGUGUAGCGGUGAAAUGCGUAGAUAUAGGAAGGAACACCAGUGGCGAAGGCGACCACCUGGACUGAUACUGACACUGAGGUGCGAAAGCGUGGGGAUCAAACAGGAUUAGAUACCCUGGUAGUCCACGCCGUAAACGAUGUCGACUAGCCGUUGGGAUCCUUGAGAUCUUAGUGGCGCAGCUAACGCGAUAAGUCGACCGCCUGGGGAGUACGGCCGCAAGGUUAAAACUCAAAUGAAUUGACGGGGGCCCGCACAAGCGGUGGAGCAUGUGGUUUAAUUCGAAGCAACGCGAAGAACCUUACCUGGCCUUGACAUGCUGAGAACUUUCCAGAGAUGGAUUGGUGCCUUCGGGAACUCAGACACAGGUGCUGCAUGGCUGUCGUCAGCUCGUGUCGUGAGAUGUUGGGUUAAGUCCCGUAACGAGCGCAACCCUUGUCCUUAGUUACCAGCACCUCGGGUGGGCACUCUAAGGAGACUGCCGGUGACAAACCGGAGGAAGGUGGGGAUGACGUCAAGUCAUCAUGGCCCUUACGGCCAGGGCUACACACGUGCUACAAUGGUCGGUACAAAGGGUUGCCAAGCCGCGAGGUGGAGCUAAUCCCAUAAAACCGAUCGUAGUCCGGAUCGCAGUCUGCAACUCGACUGCGUGAAGUCGGAAUCGCUAGUAAUCGUGAAUCAGAAUGUCACGGUGAAUACGUUCCCGGGCCUUGUACACACCGCCCGUCACACCAUGGGAGUGGGUUGCUCCAGAAGUAGCUAGUCUAACCGCAAGGGGGACGGUUACCACGGAGUGAUUCAUGACUGGGGUGAAGUCGGAACAAGGUA